rnacentral:lncRNA from 1 species
CCAGACCUUGAACAAUUUUACUUUACUACCCCUUCCCACUGUGUGCUCUUAUAUCUUAAGGCUGUAACAUUUGCUAAGCCCACUUUUACAUCUUGCUCAUACCCAUGUGUAAAGCAUGCAUUACAAAAAUACAUUUUAUUGAGUUCCCUAGUGGUUAAGGAUCUGACAUUGUCACUGCAGUGGCUUGGGUCACUGCUAUGGUAUGGGUUUGAUCCCUGGCCCAGGAACUUUUGCAUGGUGGGGGCACAACCAAAAAAAAAAAAAUUCAUUUUUUUUUAAACCUGCAUUUGAUCAGUAGUCUAGCUGCAAUCAUCCCAUCGAUCUUCCAUUAAGAUUUCGGAAAGUCUUAAACUGUUAAAUAAUGGGUUUGCCACACUUCUAAUCACUUAUGUGGAUUAAUACAUUUACUUCAUAGGAAUUAUUUAAAAGUACCAUUAUUAUCUCUGUUGUUUAGAUAAGAAAACUAAGGAGAAAUGUGCUGGAGUUACUUGUUUAUGGUAAUCACUGUGGAAUUGGGGUCACUCGUCUUGAUCAUUUCAUGAUAUCAUUUACUAAGCUCUUAUCUCAUAUUCUAGUAUAAGUUAUUCCAACUUGCUUUCUCUCUAGAGAUGAAGCACUGAAGCACUCAAAAUUUCUCUGUAGGGAUUCAUAUCUCCACAUACUGAUGUCCAGUGGACAUAUGAAUCCAUUCCAUAACUGAUAGUUGGACUUAAAAGCACUUUAAAAUAGCAACAAGGGAUUUGAAAGAUUUUCACAAACCCUACAGAUCUAUAUAAAUGCUAGCAAAAGUGUAUUGGCUUAUGAAGAUACUUGUUUUAUGAAAUAACACAAAACUAUAUGUAUUUUAUAUAUAGUGCAUAUCAUAUUGCAGAAAAGCAAAACUUAAUUAUUGGACUGUGAACAAGAAAAAAGCAUGAUAUGCAUAACAUUUGUUCAACACAAUUUCCUUAUUGUUCUGGAGUUUUAGCAGGAAACUUGACUUUUACUUACAUAACCUUAUUGAUUUUCUCUCCACACCUUUAUAGGUAAAUGGACAGUUAAUCAUUGUGUUUUCUUAUGUUGAUCCUUUUCUUUCUCAGAAGAUAUCACUGUAUUUUGCAAAGGCUUGUGUAUCAGCCUCUCAGCACCCUCCAAAAGGAGAAUAAACUCAAAAAAGAAUUCUUGAUGAUACAGUUUUUCCCAAGUUAUGAUAGUGGCUUAUAUUUAUAAACCUCUUUAUCCUCCCAAAGCAUCUGGACUUCCAUUAUUUUAUUGGUGUUUCACAUGGUACUGUGAGGGACAUAAUGGCAAUUUUAUUUUUCACAUUUACCCAGGAGGAAACUGAUGCUCAAAAGGGUUAAGUGACUGGCCUGUGUAUACUGAUAAGGAUCUUCUUAUCAGUGUACCCAACUGUUCUGACUUCCAGCCUAUAAAAACCCUCAACCAGGAUCUGGACUAUCUUUGUUUCUUGUAAAACACAACCUUCUCUACCUUUUCCCCAAAGGUGCUCCCACAUUUGUAGAUGUAUUGCUGAAUCUACCUCAUUUCACACACUACUCACCCACUCAGUGGCCAGCACUUACCUACUUGCUGUGCUCCUGAUUCUAAGCUUCUAGGCUUCUAGGUUUUAAGUCUAGUUGCAUAUAUCCUGCCAAGCUUUCCUUAUUUCUAAAUCCUAGUUCUUCCCACCUGGAACAUUGAUUCCAGACACAAAUUUAUUGGUAGUGAUCCCUUCAUUUAUCAAUUGUUGGGAAGCAUUCCCUUUUUGCUUGCCUUUUUUUCUCUUCUCAGAGGUAAUCCAUGUGGGUACAUUCUGACCUUACAAAUAGGCAUGGGCACCAGCCUGCCCCAUAUGAUGAAUAGGAAAACAUUGCUAAAGAAUAGUGAAGUGAUUUAAGCUUACACAUUUAUUUUAUUUUUUAUAGCGUGGGUUUUAAGUGUUAAAUAUCUUUAUUUUAUUUUAUUUUUUUUCUAUCCAGAGCUUAGUCCAAGCUCUGAGACCUUGAGGGAACAUGGCUGACAUUAGAAUUCUCAUAAAACAUUAAGGAAAUGCCAUAUGCUAGGGAGGACACAAAGCCAAGAAUAUGAUGGCAACAAAGGUUAGGAGGAUUAUAAAUGCCUAAAUUAGGGAACUAAUAGCAGGACCAGAAGUCAGAGAAAGUGAGAGUUAGGAAGACAGCCCAGAACAGCAAGACCAUAAUGGGAAGUCAAAGAUUUAGGGUGAAAUCUUUUGGGAAAUUUCCAGAAAUGGACCUUGCUAAAAGCAGCUGGUUUUGUAUUGAAUAGGACUAAAGACCAAAUGAGAACUAGUGAGUACUGCAUUUCCUCAUUAUAAAAUGUUGCACAAUGUACCUCAUAGAAACUGCAUCCUUGGGGUCAUUCCAAGAUUAUUAAUUAAUAAUAAAGGAGAAAUUACAUGAAUUAAAAUAUAUUCAAUACAUGCCAUCUCAAAACAUAAGCCUGGCAAAUUAAAAGUAGAAUUCUAGCUUUGAUAUUCACAUAAGAGUAAACCAAUACAUCUUAUAUUUGAAGUGCAAAAUAGUUUAUUCUAGAAAUAAAACAUAUACGAUUUCUUAAUAUCAUAUGUCAACCUUUUUUCUAUUAGAAAAUUUUUGUUUAGCUCACACACAAAAAAAAGUGUUGUGAAUCAUGUACCACACUCUCAAUGUUUCCAUCACUUUAAAAUGUGUUACUAGUAAAGCAUGUAAAUCGCUUAAACAUGAAAACCAAAUGACACAAUGAAGAUAUACAGCUGUGCUUACAUUGUAUACAUCUCUUAUGACAUGUUUUACUUGCUUUAGCUUUCUGUGGCAGUAAACACUAAGGAAUAAUGCUGCUAUUUCAAAUGAACACAAACUAAAAGCAGGAAAAACUGUUUUUAAAAACUGUCACCUAUAAUAUGGUACCAAUAUAUUAUAAUGGAAAUUACACAUAUUACUUUUUCAGGCAUUCAUUAUAGACUAUUUACAGAAAUGAGUAAAAAAAAUAUGUGAGAUAAAUUACAUUAUAUCUAUUUAAUUUACAUCCUUUUUAUUAUGCGUAUUGGUUAUAAGAAAUCAUUCUUGCCUGACAGCCAUUACUUUUUCUUGUCAGAUUUCAGAAAAGCUAAGGCAUCGAAAGAAGUGACUAUUAUAUUAUGAAUGGAAUACCAAAAAUCACCUACACUUUGCCUAUACCAUGAAUAUUUACUAGGGCUAGAACAAUAACUGAUUCUACUUCAGAAUUUUCUUAAUUGGAACAAAAAGUCAAACUGACAAAUAAGAAGCAUUACAAUAGCUUCUACACAUAAUAAAUGUUUUCAGAGGAAUUGAGAAGAAGGUUUCAGAAGGCCAUAAAUAUCCUAGCCUCUCCAUUUCAGAUUGACUAAGAACAGUCCAGUAUAAAGAGUAGCUGAAAAUAAAAUGUUAAUUUGCUUUCCUAAAGGCAAAUGUGGAGCACAUAAUGGCAUUAGUGAGUAGGAGCAGAUAUGCAAGCAAAGGGGUACAUUGAAAAACCUGUGGAAAGCUGUUUUUAGUAAUGAAUUCUUGAGAAAAUACCCUCACGUAGAAUGUUUAGACAGUUUAAUAGCUUUGUUGUUGGAAAUGUUGCUUAUUUUAGAUUUCUUUUACUAAUGACCAGUUAUUAAGACACAUGUGUCAUAAAUAAACCAAAUUGGGUUAGGACACUAACAGUUGGGUUUGCGUUCAUGGCCAAAACAUGCUC